UACAGAGGAGCCAAGCGUUGUCCGGAUUGACUGGGCGUAAAGCGCACGCAGGCGGUUACGCGCGUGGGGUGUGAAAUCUGGCCGCUUAACGGCCAGGCGCCAUCCCAUACGGCGCGACUGGAGUGAUGCAGAGGUCGAUGGAAUUGCCGGUGUAGUGGUGAAAUGCGUAGAGAUCGGCAGGAACACCCAGGGGGGAAACCAGUCGACUGGGCAUCUACUGACGCUGAGGUGCGAGAGCGUGGGGAGCGAACCGG
rnacentral:rRNA from 1 species